rnacentral:rRNA from 1 species
CCCUUAGACGUUCUGGGCCGCACGCGCGCUACACUGACCAGUGCAACAAGCAUCCGUCCUUGGCCGACAGGCUCGGGCAAUCUUUGAACGCUGGUCGUGAUGGGGAUAGACUUUUGCAAUUUUUGGUCUUCAACGAGGAAUUCCUAGUAAACGCAAGUCAUCAACUUGCAUUGAUUACGUCCCUGCCCUUUGUACACACCGCCCGUCGCACCUACCGAUUGAAUGGUCCGGUGAAGCCUCCGGAUUGGCGCGCACCUCGGUGCCGCCGAGAAGUUGGCUAAACCUUACCAUUUAGAGGAAGGUGAAGUCGCANCA